rnacentral:rRNA from 1 species
UACGAAGGGUGCGAGCGUUGUCCGGAAUUAUUGGGCGUAAAGAGCUCGUAGGCGGUGUGUCGCGUCGGCCGUGAAAACCUGGGGCUCAACUCUGGGCGUGCGGUCGAUACGGGCAGCACUUGAGUUCGGCAGGGGAGACUGGAAUUCCUGGUGUAGCGGUGAAAUGCGCAGAUAUCAGGAGGAACACCGGUGGCGAAGGCGGGUCUCUGGGCCGAUACUGACGCUGAGGAGCGAAAGCAUGGGUAGCGAACAGG